CAACGAGUGAGUGGAAAUCAAACCUUUAAAGCGAAAGACACUUUGUUAUUGAGGUGGUGACAGACGUUCUGCCCCACAUUUCACAAGAGAAGUCAUUGUUGACGGCUGAGGGAAGCACCACUUGUGGAAGCCUCAGCUGAGCCUGUAUGAGCCCCUGUACGUGAGGCGUUUCUGGUGGCCAGAGCUGCACAGCUUCUCCACCCCGCACCAGGGGAAGGGAGGCUACUGGUGGAGUCCUCAGAAGUACCGGGAAGUGGAAGCUGCCUGCAGGAACACCGUCGACACAGUGUGGUCUUUCCUGGAAACACUGGCUUUUCGGACGUGCCCUCGAGUCUAAACGCAGACUACUGCCGCCUCCACACUGGUGUCAUUUUUAUUCCCAAACUGUUCCAACCCCUUGAGCAGAUUUCAAAGCGGAUAUUGAAAAACAAGGAGCAUCGUGUUGUACACUGACACUGGAGCCAGAGGGGACAUUCAUCCCCACUUCAUAGAUUCAGAGAUGGGACGCCACUCCUCGUUACCACCAAUUAUCCGGCCGUCUGUGCGAUCAAUGAGACCUUGGAAUGUAUUUCCUCAAUAGGUGCUGCUGUGAGAUCACUUCCUGCCGACUCCCCGUUGUGUGCGUAUUCAUGGGCUCCAGCCAUUUCCUGUCCGCAGGGAAGAGGAAACUAUAGGAAACAGGAUGAGCAUCCAGGGCGGGAAGGGUCACAAAGAGCUGGGUGAGGUGGAAGAAGGGGGUGAUGACCCUGGAAAUAGUGGAGAGGACCUCAGAUAAGUGGAGAGACCCAAUCAGGGCUUGUUUGCAUAAGAGUGAAUAUCUUAUGUGAUUUUUUUAAAAAGCUGUGGGUAAAAAAAGAACAAAAGAACCCCAUUUUUUAUAUAUUCAAAUAGUUAAUUUUGCUAAGCCAUUGCUUUCUCCCUUUUUAGGCCUAAAAGACCAGAUAUCAUUGCCAGGUCUGUGUAAAUAUGAAAUUUGUUAACUUAGCUUAACACAAAGGCUUUAAUAAAGGUGACCACGUACUGUGCCUGCCGACACCGUUAAGCUGACGUCAUUGUAAUACUUUUUUGUUCCCAAUGUCUAUGUCCAGAUAGAUAAAACCUUUAAAUGUGUCUUUAACCGCAUGCUUACAUGAUGAUUUCAUUUCUAUGAAGAAGUAUUAGCUGAAGAUUUGAAAUAUCUCAGCAUUGUGUGCAGCGUAUCCUUUUAAAAAUUGGGGAGACUGGACAAAUAAAGAAGCUGCAGGCCUAAGCAGAAACUACUGAUAGCAGAUGAAGAGCAUAACUGAUCUGAAAGUCGUGUUCUUAUGAAAUGUUGGAAAAGAAAAAAGUGAGCAAUGAUCUGACAAAGACUCUGACAGAUGGAUAUGGCCCUUCAUCUACUUUUCACCAAAGCCACCAAAGGAAGGGAAUCAGGGGGAAAAGAUAAUUUGGUACACCAAAUUACACAAGAACUGGACUGGAAAUCAGUGGCAACAGACCUGAUGGCGUGAAAUGAGAAAUUUCACUCCCAAUACAGAUGGAGGAGAUCAGGAGAGUGGUACAACAGUGAGUGUCUACAACCAUCUGUAAAACACGGUGGAGGCUCUAUCAUGAGGUCAGCUCAGAUUUUGAUCCACCAUGCAAAAAGAUCUAGAAAGCAUCAGAGUGGCAACAGCUAACACCUGCACACACUAUCGAUCAUGGAUUGACUUCCCAGAAGCCGGAGCUCAACAUUAUUGAAGCAGUGAGAGAUCAUCUUGACAGAGAACAGAAAAAAGACAACAUCCAAAUAAGAGCUUUGAAUGUUCUUCAGGAACUAUUCCUAAAGACUACUUAAAGAAAUUACAAGAAAGCUGCCUAAGAGAGUUCAACACAACUGAAGAGUAAAGGUGGUCGAACCAA